GUUCCAUCCUUUCAGAUACUUUUAAAGUCAGGUUUUGAGACCAUCAUUGAUUUGUCUUCGAAGAAUUUCAGGAAGGUUUCUGUUUUAUAUAAUAAAUAAUGGGUUUAUAGAAUAAACAUUUCCAUGUCUUUGAAAAUACAUUCUCCCACAAAGUUUAUUAAUAGCUAUUAUUAAUAGUCUUAAUGUAUUUUAAAAUUUUUUAUGCAGUGAUUUUUGAAGUAUUUAUUAUUUUGAUGUAAGUAUAGAAACUUUAAAUAUGUAGUUACCACUGAUGUAACUAGAAUAUCCUCAAGCUGAAUCUGGUGCAUUUACACCUCAUUAACAAAGUAAAAAUACCAAUAGCUGAUAUUUAAAUUUUCACUGUGUUCUAUUCUAUAUCUCACUAUUUCAUUUGUUCCUCACAAAAAUUCUACAAGAGGUGCCUGUUGCCACCUGUUGAUCAUUAAUCUGAGACUCAGAUGUUAACAGGAUUAAACUGGGAUUUGGCUGCUAACACGGUUUGCCAAGGUACAACCAGAGAGGUACAGACGUGUGAUUUUUCUCUAGGUUACAUGUACUUCAGAAUCUGAGUCCCUGCUUCCCAUGCACUGUUUUGUCUGCAUGAAUGGGUUGAGCAUAUAGCAUUUUGUAAAAAGACUGUGGUCUUGGGAUGUCCGAGAUAUUUAAAUAACAGUGGGGUAGGUAAUUUGUACCAACGCUGUUGCUGAGGACAGCAGUACCCAAUAUUACCAUCAACAUCGAUGUGAAAAUCCUGAAAAACGAUUAGCAAACUUAAUCCAGCAAUAUGACAAGACUGAUGUAUCAUGACUAAGUUACAUACGUAUGUCUUGUCCCACAAUGAAAUAAGUUUUUUAAAAAAUGAUGAGCUUGAAUUAAAACCUGAAUUUAAAGCCGGACUCCACAACUUACUUAUUAUAUCUCCUUGCGCAAAUUAUAUUACCCAUUUAAGUCUUGUUUGUAUCAUCUCUACAGGAGACAGUAGCACUGCCUCCAAGUACAAUUGUGGAAACGAAAUGAAGUAGUUCUCGGAAAGCACUUGAGUAGCCCCGGGAAAUAGCCCUUUCCUUCUGCAGCCACUUCAUUACUAGGAGAAAUAUAGGAGGCUCAGGGUCAAGUUUAUGUCCCAGCCAUUGUAUUUUCUUUUAAAUUCUCUUUGCAUUUAGAAACUAUUGAUUGUUAGGAACUCAGUCCUUUCCUACCCAGAACUUUUCAUUCGGUUCUCCAUAUGACUGCCAGGGACAGCUUCUGUGACCGUGAAGCUGGGUCCUUCUUAGGAGGAUAAAGGUGAAGCAGCCAAAUGAAUGUUAACAUCUGGCCUCCUGCAUCACCAGCUAGUAGAUAUCUCAAUGGCUCCAUCUUUUACUCCCAUUUUAAGGCUGAUUAUUUCAAUUAGCAAGAACAAGAUUGCCUGUUUGGGUAUUUAUCAAAUGUCUAAAGUACUACUCUGAGCCUAGAGAUAAGUCAGAAAGUACUACAAUCAAACACAAAAAUCCCUGCUGCUGAAAUUUUUGUGGGGAAAGACAGACAAUAAAAUACACAUAAUAAGUAAAGCUAGAAUGUUUAUUUUUCUGUACCUGCCCUAAUCCUGACGUAAUAUUUAAGAUUGAUCAUUGUCAAAUAAAUAUUAAAUGUGAAAGCAGCCCCCAAUUUAGCAUAGAUCUGUUGCCACCUAUAAAAUACUUGGAUGUGCUCAGGCUCCCCGCCCACAGACCCCCGGAGACCAGGGGCGCACGUGACUCUCGUCCCCUGUGUGAGGGGUGUGCCUCCCGCAGCCCAGGGCUCGGAAGGGGGAGGCCCCGGGCUCGGGGCCACUGCUCUCGCUUUCUCGUUGUCGCAGACACCCUCCCAGGGGGCAUCCCACAACUGGCGCAAUGAGUGCCAAUGAGGACCAAGAGAUGGAACUGGAAGCUCUACAUUCUGUUUAUGAAGGAGAUGAAAGCUUCCGGGAAUUAAGUCCAGUGUCAUUUCAAUACAGGAUAGGUGAAAAUGGUGAUCCCAAAGCCUUCUUAAUAGAGAUUUCCUGGACAGAAACAUACCCCAAACACUUCCAAUUAUAUCUAUGAACGCUUUUUUGAACAACACCAUAUCAUCUGCUGUAAAGCAGAGCAUAUUAGCCAAGUUACAGGAAGAAGUGGAGGUCAAUCUCGGGACUGCCAUGACCUACACAUUGUUUGAAAAUGCCAAGGACAGUAAGGAUCAAUUCAUGAGAAUCACCAGCCCAUGAAUUCUAUGAUACCCAUAAGCAGUUAUCAUCUCCAUUGAAACCCCUAAUACAGCCCUACCAAGUAAGAAAAAAGAACAGCUUUCAAAAACCCAGAAACGUAAGCUGGCAGAUAAAACAGAUCACAAAGGAGAACUGCCUCGAGGAUGGAACUGGGUUGAUGUGGUGAAGCAUUUAAGCAAACUGGCUCUAAAGAUGAUGAAUAGUACUUGGAAUUGAAGACAAGGGAAGAACAUCCUUUAAAAAGUAAACUGGGUUCAAAAUGCUUCAUUACUCUUUUCUGGUAUUGAGGUGGCUUUUUAUAAAACAGAAUUCUUUUAUAUGUUUCUUACGUAAAAAACGUUUUAAGCUGGAAGUUCAUGAAGAGAUCUGGUUGUAUUAUUUUCACAAACUUGCCUUAAUAAAAGGUGAAAUGUUAAAAAAAAAUACUCGCAUGUGACUCUGAGUCACAAAGUUUUGUCUCUGGGUGUUAUUAAAAUUUUAUUUUAAAUCAGUUAUGAAUCUCAAAAUAAGCACUGAAAUUACACUUAGCAUUUAAUUUUGUACUUAUUUUAAUUUUAUUUUUUUUUAAGAUUUUUUAUUUAUUUAUUUGACAGAGAGAGAGAUAGCGAGAACAGGAACACAAGCAGGGGGAGUGGGAGAGCGAGAAGCAGGCUUCCUGCCGAGCAGGGAGCCCGAUGUGGGACUCAAUCCCAGGACCCUGGGAUCAUGACCUGAGCCGAAGGCAGACGCUUAACGACUGAGCCACCCAGGCGCCCCUGUACUUAUUCUUAAAGAAGGAAUUUUUGUUGAGAAAGAAAGAUUCAGUGAUUUCACACUUAUAAAUCUUCCAAAUAUCACAGAACUUUCUCAGUUUUGGAAAAUAGAGAAAACUUAAGAGACUUAUUGAGGAUGCCUUUUUUGUGGACUCUAAGACCAUUUAAUAGGCAUUAGAGAAAAGAGAACUCUUAACCACAGAUGUUUCUUUUUUUUUUUCUUUUAAUUUUAACUCCUUUUCUCCUUUGAUCAUGUAAGUAAUAUAGGAAAUUUCAAAAUACAAGAAAGCAACAGGAAAAAAAUCAAAACCAAACAAAAUCUAUCCCGUCACCCGAAGAUAACUACAUUUUAUUGUAUAUUCAUGUUUAUUUUUAGAAGUAAACAUUUUAACCAAGUACAGAGUAGUACAUUUUCAAAUGUCUUGAUAAUGGCCUAAAUCUUAGUUAAUUUGUUCAAGUAAAUAUUUCAGAUUACUUUUUA